ACUUCGUGCCAGCAGCCGCGGUAAUACGAAGGGGGCUAGCGUUGCUCGGAAUUACUGGGCGUAAAGGGAGCGUAGGCGGAUAGUUCAGUCAGAGGUGAAAGCCCAGGGCUCAACCUUGGAACUGCCUUUGAUACUGGCUAUCUUGAGUUUGGGAGAGGUGUGUGGAACUCCGAGUGUAGAGGUGAAAUUCGUAGAUAUUCGGAAGAACACCAGUGGCGAAGGCGACACACUGGCCCAAUACUGACGCUGAGGCUCGAAAGCGUGGGGAGCAAACAGGAUUAGAAACCCCGGUAGUCCG
rnacentral:rRNA from 1 species